GGAGGAGUGCCCGAGUGGACGAAGGGGGCGGCCUUGAAAGCCGUUGAGGGAGCUCGCUCUCCCUCCGGGGGUUCGAAUCCCUCCUCCUCCG
rfam:Thermodesulfobacterium geofontis OPF15, complete genome.